rnacentral:rRNA from 1 species
AUGAGGCUUUGUUGGUCGGUCUUCAAUUCUUCAUGCUGCUGCUGCUACAUGAUGGCCCUCUUCAAUUCAGCAUCCGUUGCGGACGCCGCAGCUUCCACCUCCAGAAGAGAACCUGCUCCUCGUGCGGUUACCCGUCCGCCUGCAUCCGCAAGUGUAAGUUCCCCCUCCCUCUAUCCUAGAUCUCUAGGUUUGUUGCUAUCAUGCACCAUGUUCUUGAUGUUGCGCGUCCUCAUGUGGAUGCCACGAACGGUGCUGCUCCUGCGUGCAGAUUUGAUUCGCCGCAUUAGUAUGCGAUUGUUGUCUCGCCGUGGUUGUUCAAAUUGA